AGAUUGUGGUGUGGGUAUUCUCUCUGCAGAUCCUUGAACCUAUUCCAUGCUUCUUUCAAUGUUUCAUCGAGUUCUUGUUGGAAGGUGGCAAGUUUAUGUCUUAAAUCU
rfam:Beta vulgaris subsp. vulgaris Bvchr6.sca021.con0044.1, whole genome shotgun sequence.